rnacentral:rRNA from 1 species
GAUGAACGCGGCGGCGUGCCUAACACAUGCAAGUCGAGCGAGAAGUAAAGAAAUGAAGCUUCGGUAGAUUUUCAUUAUGGAAAGCGGCGGACGGGUGAGUAACGCGUAGGCAACCUGCCCUGUACAGGGGGAUAGCCACCCGAAAAGGUGAUUAAUACCCCAUGAUGCAAGAGAUACACAUGUAUCACUUGUCAAAGAUUUAUCGGUAUGGGAUGGGCCUGCGUCUGAUUAGCUAGUUGGUAGGGUAACGGCUUACCAAGGCAACGAUCAGUAGCCGACCUGAGAGGGUGAUCGGCCACAUUGGAACUGAGACACGGUCCAAACUCCUACGGGAGGCAGCAGUGGGGAAUAUUGCACAAUGGGGGAAACCCUGAUGCAGCAACGCCGCGUGAAGGAAGAAGGCCUUCGGGUUGUAAACUUCUGUCCUAGGGGAAGAAACAAAUGACAUUACCCU